rnacentral:ncRNA from 2 species
CGCUGAUGAAGUUGAUAUGGUCCGUGUUUCAGAUCGCUGAAUUGACGCACAAUAGCAUAUCUUCUGAGUU